UGAGCAUCAUGAGCUCACCGUGCCGCAACUGCGGUGUUGGUGACGCCCAUCCUCGUGGACGACCUCUUCGUUAUUGAAGCAAGGGAGCAUAGGAUGCUGAUGUCUGAUUCAUGACUAUUGGGUGGCCUUCUUCGACUUUCUAGGUUUUUGCUGUUGCAUGGUUUCGGCCCUCGUCCACCUGACCUGCUGCUGGAUUGGUGAGCAAGCUG